UGCCUCUGAGCCCGGCCCUCGCCCCCGCGUGCCCCUGGGGGUGGGCAGCCCAGAGUUGCCUGUGGGGUCGGGUCCGCAGCGUCCCUGGGUUUCCUGCCCACGGGCAGGCUCCUCGGCCCCGGGCCUCGUUCUCUAUUCGGGGUGGGAAUCGCGGCGGGUGUAAACGCCGGGAGCGGGUGGUAGGCGGGGAGGACUGGGGGUCCCCGGUGGGGGUCGACGGGCGGCUGUCUUCAGGGAAGGCGAGGAUGGCGGGGUGGGGACCUUUAGCCUCUGCGCGUAAGGGAGGUGGUCGGUUUGGAAGGGGCAGGAAAAGUGACUCGGCGCUGGAUCUGUCUCAUGCCUGCUUUGGGUCUGGGGUCCUGGUAAAGGCCACUUAACGUGGACAAUUCCGCCGGCGUGCGUGUCCGGGAGAGAACUUAAUGGCCAGGCGGCCGCCGAAGCGCGUGCGCCUUCGUGCAUGAUGUCCCCUAAUCCCCGCGUCCGGCUCCAGGCCACAGCCACGCGUGGCCACUGGACAGCUGGGCCGUGGAGUCUGGGUUCACGUGUGCUUUAAUGUGGAAUGCUCGUCAUAUUUCGUGGACUCAAGAAGUGAUAAGAAUGUAAAAUAUUCCAAUCCUAAUUUUGUUUAUUACUUAUCAAAGUAAUAUCUUGGAUAUAUUUUUUGAACUUAUUUUCACUUUUUUCUGUCAACUUUUUUAAAUGCCUGCUAGAUUAAUACUGACUGCUAGAAAAUUUUGAAUUACCUACGUGGCUCCCGUUGUACUUCUGCUGUUCUCGAGUAAACUUUGUUCCUCCCCCAAUUUCACAGCUUGGAGGCGGAGGCUGGAAGAGCUGACCAGCCCCAAAGCUAGUCAGUGAAGGCAUCUCGCUCCCUUCUACAAAGGGAGAGCCCAGGUGAGUUUUAGAGGCUUGGUCCGGGUGAGGUAAGACCCAGCCGUCAUUGUUCUCAGGGACCAUCCCAGCACAUCCUCUGUUUCCUCUCUGGGGCCAGUUUCUCCAGCUAUGAAAGGAUGGUAAUUAUAGGUGCCCCGCAGCUGGCUUUGUGAGUAGGAAAUGAGAAGCUCUAUAUGAAAGCAGGUCCAGUUUAUGGAGCAAAAACACCCCCAUAAAAUCCAGGGCGAUGCUGUCAUUAUAAACGUUUAAGCCCAUUUGCCACAUGAAUGGUGGGCAAAGUCACGGCUUCGUCACCCACGCUUCAGGAGGCCAGUCCUCGGGGUCCCUCCAAAAGCAGGCAAGCAGGUGCCGGGCACCUCCCCGCAGGUCAGGGAUGGGUUUCCUAGGCCUCCUCCUCCUCCUCCUCUCCGCCCCCCUCCCCCAUGCUGCUAGGCCCCCAGGGCUCAGCCCCUCCUACAGAUGCUCUUUCCAGAUGCCUAGGACCCGGCCUCCACCGCUACCCCCAGCUCCCAUGUCCUGGGCUCCUCACGACCCGCUGGAGCAUCCCAGAACCUCUCCAGAGAAUGGCCCUGCUCCAGGUAACUUCUCUGAUUACAAGGUUCCACCAAGAUUUUUCUGGAGACUACUGUCUUUUGGUUUUUGUUUCAUUCAAGGUGGGAAUUUGGGGCCAAGUAGGAGCAGAAGAUGAGACCUGGAAGGGACGGUAUUGGGGACUUGGGGACCCUGACAGGUGGGCAUCUCCGUGCUUGUGGGAGGAUGCCCACUCUGCUGCAUCCUGGUUGGGAGGUUAAGCAGGUCACCUAAGCUCUCAGCCUCUGUUACUGUGUCUGAAACAUGGGAAUUGGCUUUUGUUACAUUGUGAAGACGAAAGACAAUGUCUGUGAACUGGGUGUUUAAUGACUAUGUCAGUGACAGCAUUCAUUCCAGCAGGCCCAGGCCCCUGGGGGUCACUGGCAGCAAACGUUCUUCCCAAGGCUGCCCUCUCUGCCCCACAAAGUGCACCCAGCCUGCCUCCUCGCCAGCCCCCGCCUUCAUGUCUGUUCAUGUAUAAUCAGAUGCACACACAGGCAGAGUUUUGAAUGAUGCCUGCCUGACCUAAGGUGACUCAUCCCAGGGCUGUGAGCUGCCCUCCUCCGCCACCUGGGCAUCCCAGACCCCACCAAGGGCCACACAGCACCGUGCAGACAACAGGAGGGAAGGGGGCCAACUGAGCCUCCCUGCCCCAGAAUAGACUUUGAAGAGUUCUGGGGAGAAGGCACUCUGGGCUGAUGAUGACAACAUUCAGACUGGAGAGGGAAGGUGAAGCCUGGGCCUGCGUUUUACUGAAGGUCUCAGGCUCCCGUCUCUCAGUCUGCCUGCCCGCCCCUCUCCUGCCUUCACUGAGAGCCUUCGAGUGCCCUCUGCAUGCGUGGUACUCCGGUGGUGGUGCCAUCUCUUAAGAGAGAGAUGUGAUCUAGUUGAAAUAUAUUUAGUGGGGGUCCCAAAAUUUUGAGAUCAGUUUCCCCUGUAGAAUAAUGGAAACCCAAGAACCAUCCCAGCAGUAAAAUUGUAUCAGUCAUUCUGCAACAGUAUCACGUUCUCUUCUUCUGUGCCCUCAGAGAAGGCCCAGGGGACAAGCCAUCUCAGUCUCUCCUUCCUGUGACACUUACGUAAAAGAGCCCUGUCUGCUUCUUUGACUGAGUGCACACAUCCAGGUUUAUAAUAAAAGCAUCUCUUUAUGAAGAUGGAGGAAUUUUGCUUAAAGCACUUGAGGUGCUUCCUUUUUAAAAAGACUGCCUGAAGCAUGAACAGUCUGAGCUCCAGUUUAAUUUACUUUGAAGACGUCAAGUCCAAAAUUUAUAAAUUUUUGCACCAGACAACAACAGUUUGGAGUAAAUAUAUAGUAAUGUUUUUCAGCUACCUUCUAGAAUGUUUCAUGUCCCAGUAUGAAUUAUGUUUACUAGCGCUGUCAGUCAGACCUUUCAAAAUUGAGGAAAAAAAAUAUAGUAUACAGUGUGUGACUAUGUAAUACACAUAUGUAACAUAAACAUACACAUUUUUAACGUGGUAAGAACAUAUUUCAUAUAAACAUAUUUUCUGAGUACACAAUUAGGAAAUGUAUCAAAUACUAAAGAACACGGGUGUGUCUUUCCACUCUCCCCUGGAUGUGUUUAUUUUCACGUUCAUGUUUGACUUUUCCCUUUUUUUCCCCCUUUCAUGGGUUGUUUAGAUGUUUUUGUUUAUUCCUUUUUAACAUAGUUUCAAUCAUCUUUGCCUUGGACAUUAAGAAUGGGAAGUACUCUGUCUUCUUACACCGUGACUUAAGUGAGACGUAGUCUCAUAAAUUCUCAAAUGUAUGGAACCUUCUUCCAGCUGCUGCCGUUUCCUCCGUAAUCUGUCUGGACUACACUGGUUUCUCUGAUUAAAUCUGCUUCACACGGCCAUGGCUGUUCACAUGAGUGGAGUGAAUUUCCCCCCAUUCAGCCCACACCCCUAUAUUCCCUGAGUGUUAGGAGCACAGGCCUGGAUGGAUGGGAGUGGAUGCACAUCCUGACUGCCACUUAUUAGCUGUGUGACUUAGGGCAAGUUACUUAACCUCUCUGUGCCUCAAUUGCCUCAUCUGUAAAGUGGGACUAAUAAUUGUACCUAGUCCCUGGGGUUGUUACAUGGAUUGAAUGAAUUAAUAUGGGAAAGCACUUAGAAUACCCCCUGAUCCACAGUAAAUGUUAUGUAAAUCUAAGCUAUUACAACUGGUAUGACUAUUUCCCUCCCUCCUUCCAGGGAGCUUUUCUCUAUAAAUCAGUGCUGAAA